rnacentral:lncRNA from 1 species
GGAAGGUCUCAAAAGUCAAAUGAUGGAUUCACUUCAUCUGUUUCCUUGAAAGAUGCUACUUGUGAAGCUUGUACUAUGGUAUUUUUAAGUUUUUCAAGUACCUGAACAAUGAUUUGUUGGAAAAACCAUUCAUUCAGUUUCUAUACAUCAUGUCAUUUUUCUCCUUACAGGUUUUAAACAGAAAAGUCAAGACAGAUAUAGUUUAUAGAAGGUCAGUAUUGA